GGCAAGAUGGCCGAGUGGUCUAAGGCGCUAGCUUCAGGCCCAUUUGAUUGGAUCUGCUAGUAGGUAAAACUGCGUGGGUUCGAAUCCCACUCUUGUCA
rnacentral:tRNA from 1 species